AGCUGUAAGUUAUAUGAGGGACUACCUUUGAAGACUGCUCUCAAACUGCAAUUAGCUUCAGGGGCUAGUCAUAGAGAAGACAUUUCAGUGAUGCUUAAAGAGCUACACUAACUCGCAGGCCAAUUUCAGACACAAUUCCGCGCACCGAGGCUUGCUUUAAAAGCUGUCCGCAACCUUGGAAAGGGAUACCUAUUUCCAAAUUAAAUACCUUCAGAAGUCCCCCUCCAAGUAUCCCAUCAUCAGACAGCGACUGGGCCUUCUUGUUUGGGACACCCGAGUUUCCCCUGGAGAAUGUAGGCCUGGCACCUUCAUUUGUCUUCUUAAAAGGCUUCUUAACUUUAUUUCCCCCAGGCCUACUAAUUUUACGAGAUUUUUAUGCUACCAUUUUAACAUUUGAUUGCUUUUGGAUUAAGCUGGCGACAUUGUCAAAUGCAUCUUACUGUUGUCUUUAAUAAAAAGCUGUGAUUUAAUUGAAAUCUAUUUGAGCUAGGUCAGUGGAAUAGUAAAGUGCUUUUAACAUGUAAGAAGGUUAAAUUUGUCCACGAUGCAUGGAAAAAAAUUGGUGUAUUUAUACCCUCUUGAUCCCAGCUUUAUACUUUAGAAGAGGCAGGCACUAGCACUCUGUUUCAGGAAUGAUCUGAUCAGUAUUCCACACUCCUCUCUUCCUAAUAAGCAGACUUGGAAAAACACGUUUCUCUUGUGAUCAGUCAUCCAUAUGAAGACUUUAAUAAAACAAACAAUUUAAGUAAAAAGCCUGAUACAUUCAUGCAGCACUCUCCAUAAGCCAAUUAGAGAGACUAAUUGUGGUAGGCCUCAAAAGUGAGUUAGCAAGUUUAUUCUAAUGAACAAAGUAUAGAGGAGGAAUAGAACAUGUACUUGCUGCUGGGAAGGCGAUCCAUUCAUGUGGUCUUGAAAGGAUGCAAAUAGUCUUGUCUGAAAGAUAACUUAUUUGUUCCUCUAUUGGACAGCAAAAGGCAUUGCGCAAGUUGGCUGGCAUCCCAUUUGAAAGGUGCUGAGUCAAUUGACUUCCUGGUAUGUUGUGUCUGCUGCGGCAAGCUUUAAACAGUGCCCCUGAAAAUACCUGUUUUCUUGUGUAUUCUUCCCAUCUUUUAGCCAGAUAACAUAGUUAGUAAAUUCAUGUGGUAGAGUCCUUCCUAGUUUAUACAGUGCCAAGUGGGGAAGUAUGGUGUGUGUGUGUGUUUUCGUUAACUCCAAUUAAAAAUCAACAGCAACAACUUCCUUGCAUGUGGAAAACUAACACAUCAAGUAAAAAAACCUUCUAACUUUUCCUUCAUGAUUUUUGUUAUUUAUGUGCAAGAAGCUUCCAUCAAAAUAUUCAUAAAUGCUAUACUGCAUCUGCUGCCUAGUUUAGGAAUGCCUUUACUAGGUGAUUUUGCUUGUUGUGUAAAUUAUCCUCCCCACCUUCAUACUAUUUCUGCUACCUCUUCCACAUUUAUUCUUAACUUAUUUUAAUUUUGCACUAGAGGGUGUGCAGAAGAAGGGCAUGUAUAUUGCAGGGAGAAGGCUGUCCAUAGAGUUUUCCGUUCAUAGGGGUUGGUACCCAUAACCUGCCAGGGCUGGUGUGCAGGUUUUGCCUACACCAUAAAAUGACAAAGAGCCUAUCUCACCAGCAAGGCCACUAUUUUCAAUUUGCACAGGACACUUGAAAUGGCUGGAAGCAACAUGUGAGAAUUCUGGGUUCACAUGCCUCAUGCCUUGCAGUUUAAGGAGUCCCACGGAGAGUGCCCUGAGGAACCAAAGCAGAUGGAGGAAUGAUGGGAGGAGGAGUGAUGAGACCUUCUGAAAGUUGUCAGACCUCUGGCAAGAAGGAUCUUUACCUUCUCCCAGCAGUCCACUGGGUGAGGAAAGAAAGGGAGAAGUUGGGGAAAAGAGAUAGACCAGACCACUUCUGUAUUUGACCCCUCCAUGCCCCUGCCCACAUGCACCCCCUGACAGAUUACUGUCAAUGGACUGCAGCACCAUAGCAGAAAAAAAUGUUACCCCUCAUUGGUGAAGACAGGAUCACAGGUGUGGAUCACAGGUAUGACUCAGUGUAAGGCAACUUGAUAUAUUUACUGUGCCUACUGAAUCCAGCACUUUCUAGGUGUCAACAAAAAUGUGCACAGAUUGUUCUGUUUCUCAUAACAAAUUAAAUUGUGAAGCACGGCAAGCAUAAGUGAUUCAUGCGACAAAUGUGUAGAUAAAAAAAAUAUAUUUAAAUUAUACCAGGCUUUAUCAUUACUGAUUUAACACCGGGUGGGGUGGGGUGGAUUGUGAUACAAGUUCUUUUAAGGUUGCAACCCUAAAUCCACUUACCUGGGAGUAAGUCCCAUUCACUUCAACAGGACUUACUUCUGAGUAGACAUGGUUGGGAUUGCUCUGCUAAGCUUCCAAUGUAUUUUAUUUUCAAUCAUUUCUUUCCUUGCCUCACAAAGUCAUGCAUGCAUCCCCAAGUAUAACUCUUCGGUUGUAGCUAAUAUUCUGCAACUUGCAGGUGCAGCUAUGUCACUUCCAGAGCAAAGACUGGGUUGCAAGGGAGAAACAACCCUAAGCGUGAGGUGUUUUGGAAGUAGAUCCUACUAGUUUCAGCCUAAAACGAUAUGACAGCAAACUUCAUUAAUUUAUUAAUAUUGUAUUUUUACUUCUCAAGAGGCAGGAAGCAUUGCUGGGAUUUCCUGCCUCAGGUAACAGGAGAGCGUGAGUGGUCUUUGGUAGUAAGUACUGUAGCCAGUAACCGAUUGCAUGAUAAGCAGUGCUUACCUAACCUCCAAACACUUUAGUCACUGCUGCUCACAGGGUGGGGAGAGGCAAGGUGGUGAGGUCAGUGCGGUACAAAUACACCAGGUACAAAUACACCAGUGGAGUCAAUCUGGCACUCUUGCUAGUAAGUUCGCACUGUGAUAACCCUCCCUCUGCCGUCCCUGCUCCCUCUUGGGAGCUGUUGGGAGGUCAGCAUCUGCUGUUCCACCUUCUGCAGUAAAAUAUCCAAUGCUAACCCUGUUUUACUCAGAAGUAAAUCCCACUGAACACAGUGAGACUUACUCCCAGGCCUAAAUGUUUUACAUAGGAUUUACUUUAGAGUAAGCUCUAUUUAAACAAAUAGAGAAAAUAGGUACCUGAUAUGGUGCUUUGACCACCAUGUCAGUGCAGUGUCAACAUUAUGAACAGGCUUCUAGGAUUGUGACCUUCAGUACAGCUACUCAUAUAACUCUCUGAAUAAAUAAUAUCUGCUCAGUCCGUGUGCCACUGUAUUUUCAUUGGCUGUUGCCAACACCUUUGGUGUUCUUGUUUAACCAAAAGAUAGGCCAAAGGUGUGUGGCAAGUAUCUUUUUAUUCUAGCUGUUGCAGUUCCAAGGCCAUCGCUCCAGCUGACAAGACCAAAUUUAGAAAAGAAUUAUUUUUUUAACCUCAUCUCUUUCUCUGGAAAAAGGGACAAAGAGCAAGAUUUCAUUGUCCUGUUAUUUGUCUUCCUUUUGCCGCAGCUUCCUAGACCUCAAAGGUUGAAUUUUACAGCUGACUGGGUUGUUAUAAACUCUAAAGUCAUGUAAAGAAAUGGAAUGUGCACCAACUGUAAGCUAUUAACAUGCUUAUCUGUUGACAAAUAAUUAUGUUUUACUUUUGUCUCACCUGCUAAUCUUUACUCUCACUUAGGUUUAAAGGUGAAAGAUCACAAGCUCAAGAGAUUCAGUUUCAGUUUCAAGAUUGAUAAAAUCUUUUCUCUUGUGCUAUUGACCCAAUUGCACAAUUCCACUAAAACCUAUCCACCAGAUGUUUUUUAAAGAUGCAUGGCCAAGAAAUGUAAACGAGCAACGCUACAGCCUUGGGAUACAUAGAUGUCAUCUCGACCAAGAUACAGUACAUUUCUGCAGUGCUGUAGAUUAUGUGAACUACAUGAGUGGGGCUCUGAAGUAUCUUAAGCAGAAUCUGCUGACUGGUAAAUGGAACUAACAUCAUUAUCCUGAGUGCAUUAUUUGACCCAUAGAUUUCAGUGCUCAGCAUGGCAAUCUUUCUCAGUUCACAUUUGUGAGUAUAGGAUUCCUAAAUGUAAGGAUAGCCAUAAACCACAUCAUAUGUUUAAUUUCAGCAAGCACAACUGAUUACUCUAAAAAGCCCUAAAGUUUUUUCUUUGGUCUACAAUGUUUUCAGAGCUGUUGUGUAGGGAGUGCUCCAUACCUCUGCCCUCCUGCCCGUCCCUCGCUCGCUCGAAUGUCAGUUUUGUUCCUGGGGAAGGUUCUGAGAGUCCCUCUGAUUGCUGAGAGUCCCUUUCCCUUGCUGCUCUACAAGCAGGCAACAACAUUAUUUGGGGGGAGUGGGGGAGAAACUAGAUAAAAAGAAACAACCACCAUCAAUUUCCAAGACCAACAAGGAGAGUGCCAAGAGGUCCACAGCAACUCUGAGCACUAGGAGCCACCAACCCAUUGAUCCCCAGCUCAACUUAAUGGUUACUGGAGGCAGGCAGGGUAUGUGUGCACACGCAAGGGUGCAUUCCCCCUCCCCCCCGGGAAGGUGGGUGGGCUGGAUGGGAUCUGCCAAGAGAGCCACUUCCCAGCCUCUCUCAACAGCACUCUCCCCACUUUAUGCAAUUUCACAUAUAUGUACAGAGUUUGGGAACGUAACCCCAGCUUAAGUGCAGGAGAUGGGGACGCAGGUAUUACAACAUUCAGACUGAUAACAUUUGGCCUCUAUGCUUUUGCUUUGGUGCAAACCAACCUUAGCAUUGUAUUGCCGCUUGCAUUUAUUAAAAAACUGCAUUAAAAUGCUUUUUACUUUUAAAUGUUACUAUGUAUUAAAACUUCACUUCACAAACC
rnacentral:lncRNA from 1 species